rnacentral:rRNA from 1 species
GAUGAACGCUGGCGGUAUGCUUAACACAUGCAAGUCGAACGGACUCUUCGGAGUUAGUGGCGGACGGGUGAGUAACGCAUGAGAAUCUGGCUUUGGGUUCGGGACAACCACUGGAAACGGUGGCUAAUACCGGAUGUGCCGAGAGGUAAAAGAGAAAUUGCCUGAAGAUGAGCUCGCGUCUGAUUAGCUAGUUGGUGAGGUAAAGGCUCACCAAGGCAGCGAUCAGUAGCUGGUCUGAGAGGAUGACCAGCCACACUGGGACUGAGACACGGCCCAGACUCCUACGGGAGGCAGCAGUGGGGAAUUUUCCGCAAUGGGCGAAAGCCUGACGGAGCAGUACCGCGUGAGGGAAGAAGGCUCUUGGGUUGUAAACCUCUUUUCUUAGGGAAGAACAAAAUGACGGUACCUAAGGAAUCAGCAUCGGCUAACUCCGUG